rnacentral:rRNA from 1 species
CCGAUAGGCGUAGGCGAUGGACAAGGAGUUGAUAUUCUCCUACCGGCGAAGAACCGCCCAUACCGAACCCGGUGAUGCUAAGCGCCCUUAACCCGCACCGUCUCCUUCGGGAGACAUCGCGGGAGCGGCGCGCGACCCGAACCGGUACUAGGUAAGCGUAUUAACAGGGGUGACGCAGGAAGGUAGCCCAGCACGGCGAUGGUUGACCGUGUCCAAGGUUGUAGGGCGAACAGUAGGCAAAUCCGCUGUUCACAUAGCCUGAGAACUGAUAGAUAGCGCGUAUGCGCGAAUUGGGUGAUCCUAUGCUGCCAAGAAAAGCCUCGGCGCGAGGUUCUAGCCGCCCGUACCCCAAACCGACACUGG